UACAGAGGUCUCAAGCGUUGUUCGGAUUCAUUGGGCGUAAAGGGUGUGUAGGUGGCGCCGUAAGUCGGGUGUGAAAUUUCGGAGCUUAACUCCGAAACUGCAUUCGAUACUGCGGUGCUUGAGGACUGGAGAGGAGACUGGAAUUCAUGGUGUAGCAGUGAAAUGCGUAGAGAUCAUGAGGGAGACCAGUGGCGAAGGCGGGUCUCUGGACAGUUCCUGACACUGAGACACGAAGGCCAGGGGAGCAAACGGG
rnacentral:rRNA from 1 species